ensembl:lncRNA
GUUGUUAGGGUUACCUCCACACCGUUCUGUUGUUGGGGUUACCUCCACACCGUUCUGUUGUUGGGCUGCUUUUUAACGUAAUUAAUUACCCAUUUUUGGAAGGAAAACUAAUACAUUUUGCAGAUCAUAUUUCAUAGACAUUUGUAAAUACGGGACAGUUACUGACGGUAUAAUAAUCACUUGUUUUUUUCGGAACGAUGCGUGAAGGCUUGAGUUACUACAUGUAGUAGAUAUGUCUGAUAGAGAGCUGUUGUUGUAAUGCAGUGAUGGCGAGGGACAUGAAUUCUCAUGGGAACGUCAUGUAGCAUCAUGUCUGGAAAUACAGAUGUAUGCAGACAUUCUAGAAUACUUUCUAUCAUGUUGGUGUAACAAUGAAAGCAUUCCUCCCAUUUGUUUUCUAUCAUGUUGGUGUAACAAUGAAAGCAUUCCUCCCAUUUGUUUUCUAUCAUGUUGGUGUAACAAUGAAAGCAUUCCUCCCAUUUGUUUUCUAUCAUGUUGGUGUAACAAUGAAAGCAUUCCUCCCAUUUGUUUUCUAUCAUGUUGGUGUAACAAUGAAAGCAUUCCUCCCAUUUGUUUUCUAUCAUGUCGGUGUAACAAUGAAAGCAUUCCUCCCAUUUGUUUUCUAUCAUGUCGGUGUAACAAUGAAAGCAUUCCUCCCAUUUGUUUUCUAUCAUGUUGGUGUAACAAUGAAAGCAUUCCUCCCAUUUGUUUUCUAUCAUGUCGGUGUAACAAUGAAAGCAUUCCUCCCAUUUGUUUUCUAUCCUGUUGGUGUAACAAUGAAAGCAUUCCUCCAUUUGUUUUGGCGUUCAUUCUCUUCAGAUCUGAAAGACAUGUUUAAAUUGGUAUUUUCUCCUUAUCGACGUACUUUGUACAAGCAGCUUGUUACCUUGUCUUCCGGCUACUUUUUGUCAACUCUGUAACAUAUCGAACUGAUCAGUGUGAACUGAUAUUGUAUAAAAAUUAAAUUACUUUUGUCUUUUUUUUAAA